GCCACAGGACCUGUCCAUAGGUUGGAUGCUGUGUGGGUGACAGAGAGAAACCGGGGCUCACGGCCUGGGCAGCGGGACGGGCGGAGUCGUCCUCACCUGUGCUGGGGACCCUGUGGGAGCAGCAGGCUUCCGAGCACGUGCUGGACCCCGGCGUCUCCGGCUGCACCGAGUGGUCAGGACAUUGAGGCCGGGUCAGGGAGCGUGAGAUACCGGGACGAGCGGGCCCAGGGCUGAGCCCAGCGGCGUCCGGGUGGGCGGUGGCGUUGAGAUGGGAAUUGGGAAUUGCACCGGUGGUCUCAGGAGGAUGGAAAACCCAAGCAGCAGCUGCACCAGGACCGAGGCAAAGGGACCGCAGUUUAACAGAAAACCCAAAACGAGAGCGAGAAAACGGCCAAACACCCGUGCGAGGAGGAAACCCAAGCUCCGCCGAGCGCGGCGGGUCUGUGCCUUCGCUUCGCUUCCAGCCUCUCGCUUCCUUCUGACCCGACCCCGAGUUCUUUCUCCGGACGGUGUCGAGAACCCGGGCGCCGGCUGGGGCUGGAGUCUCGCUGGCCUCGGAGCGCCCCCGAGCCCUCGGGCGACAGCGAGGGAACGCCAGGCCCCCGGACGCGACCCAC
rnacentral:lncRNA from 1 species